UACGUAGGGUGCAAGCGUUAAUCGGAAUCACUGGGCGUAAAGCGCACGUAGGCGGCUUUUUAAGUCAGGGGUGAAAUCCUGGAGCUCAACUCCAGAACUGCCUUUGAUACUGGGAAGCUUGAGUCCGGAAGAGGUGAGUGGAACUCCGAGUGUAGAGGUGAAAUUCGUAGAUAUUCGGAAGAACACCAGUGGCGAAGGCGGCUCACUGGUCCGGUACUGACGCUGAGGUGCGAAAGCGUGGGGAGCAAACAGG
rnacentral:rRNA from 1 species